GAUGAACGCUGGCGGCGUGCUUAAUACAUGCAAGUCGAGCGGACAGCCCAUACGCUUGCUUCUCUGUUGUUAGCGGCACACGUGUGUGUCACACGUGGAUCACCUCCUUAUAAUACUGGUAUCACUUCGAAACUCCGGCUCUUAUCGCGUAUAAUCUUCUGCAGCGCAUGGUUCAAUAGUGAAAUACGGUCUUGCUGUCACGUAUCGCUGGAUCCGCGCUGCAUUAGCUAGUUGGUACGGUAACGGCUUACCACGGCAACGAUGCAUAGCCGACCUGAGGGGGUGAUCGGCCACACGGGAACUGAGACACGGUCAAGAGGCCUAAGGGAGGCAGCAGUAGGGAAUCUUCCGCAAUGGGCGAAAGCAUGACGAAGCAACGGCGCGUGAGUGAUGAAGGUCUUCGGAUCGUAAAACCCUGUUAUGAGGGAAGAACAGAUGUGUAAGGAACUGUGCACAGCGUGACGGUACCUAAUCAGAAAGCAACGGCUAACUACGUG
rnacentral:rRNA from 1 species